GACGAACGCUGGCGGCGUGCUUAACACAUGCAAGUCGAACGGUAAGGCCCUUCGGGGUACACGAGUGGCGAACGGGUGAGUAACACGUGGGUGAUCUGCCCUGCACUUCGGGAUAAGCCUGGGAAACUGGGUCUAAUACCGGAUAGGAAUCCGGACUGCAUGGUCUGGGGUGGAAAGCUUUUGCGGUGUGGGAUGGGCACGCGGCCUAUCAGCUUGUUGGUGGGGUGAUGGCCUACUAAGGCGACGGCGGGUAGCCGGCCUGAGAGGGUGACCGGCCACAAUGGGACUGCGAUACGGCCCAGACUCCUACGAGAGGCAGCAGUGGGGAAUAUUGCACAAUGGGCGCAAGCCUGAUGCAGCGACGCCGCGUGAGGGAUGACGGCCUUCGGGUUGUAAACCUCUUUCAGCACCGACGAAGCGCAAGUGACGGUAGGUGCAGAAGAAGGACCGGCCAACUACGUGCCAGCCGCCGCCGUAA
rnacentral:rRNA from 1 species